rnacentral:misc_RNA from 1 species
GAUGAAGAACGUAGCGAAAUGCGAUAAGUAAUGUGAAUUGCAGAAUUCAGUGAAUCAUCGAAUCUUUGAACGCACAUUGCGCCCCCUGGUAUUCCGGGGGGCAUGCCUGUCCGAGCGUCAUUGCCGCCCUCAAGCACGGCUUGUGUGUUGGGCCCCCGCCCCCCGGCUUCGGGGGGCGGGCCCGAAAGGCAGCGGCGGCACCGCGUCCGGUCCUCGAGCGUAUGGGGCUUCGUCACCCGCUCUGUAGGCCCGGCCGGCGCCCGCCGGCGACCCCAAUCAAUCUUUCCAGGUUGACCUCGGAUCAGGUAGGGAUACCCGCUGAACUUAAGCAUAUCAAUAAGCGGAGGA